AGUGAACGCUGGCGGUAGGCCUAACACAUGCAAGUCGAACGGCAGCACAGUAAGAGCUUGCUCUUACGGGUGGCGAGUGGCGGACGGGUGAGGAAUACAUCGGAAUCUACUUUUUCGUGGGGGAUAACGUAGGGAAACUUACGCUAAUACCGCAUACGACCUACGGGUGAAAGCAGGGGAUCUUCGGACCUUGCGCGAUUGAAUGAGCCGAUGUCGGAUUAGCUAGUUGGCGGGGUAAAGGCCCACCAAGGCGACGAUCCGUAGCUGGUCUGAGAGGAUGAUCAGCCACACUGGAACUGAGACACGGUCCAGACUCCUACGGGAGGCAGCAGUGGGGAAUAUUGGGCAAUGGGCGCAAGCCUGAUCCAGCCAUACCGCGUGGGUGAAGAAGGCCUUCGGGUUGUAAAGCCCUUUUGUUGGGAAAGAAAAGCAGCAGGUUAAUACCCCGCUGUUCUGACGGUACCCAAAGAAUAAGCACCGGCUAACUACGUG
rnacentral:rRNA from 1 species